rnacentral:lncRNA from 1 species
CUUCAUCUUUAGAGAGAUAAGAUGAAAUUGUUCUUCCAAGAGUAGUUUCUCUUGUUUCUGAUGAGGAUGGAAAGUACAAACUUAUGUUUAAACUCUGAUUUUAACCAUUCCAAUUUUAACUUCAUCCCUACGUAUAACUGCAGAUAUAACAACUCUUAAUGAAGGGGAGGCAUUUUAGAGUUUUGAUCAGAAACAGUCUUUCUGAGGUGGAUGCUGAGGUAGAACCAUAAAUGGGCAGUAGGGAAAAAAACAAAAACAGGGAUUUCACCAGCUUUCCUCCUAUAGCAGGUACCUCCUUGCAGUGAUCCUUGUCUAACAAAAGCUAACUUCAUACUAGUUAGUCUGAAGUAGUAGUACUGAAGAAUUUCCGCUUAAGCAAACUCCUUUCUGUCAUAAAACCAUUAAUAUGGUACAAAUAUGUGCACAUAGAUUGGGGCUCAACAUAUUGCAAGUACAACCAAAGAAAAUCUUUUCUUACCCUCAGAUGGAAUGGCUUAUUCUUCUAUUAUAUAUGGAUUUAUUUUCAUUGAAAAUUAACUGACCAGGAGAAUGUGAUUUGCAACAAGAUUUAAAAUUUGAUUUUCUUAAUAAUCAUGUGCAAGCUAAUAAUGUACUAACAUCCAAAGUUUCAUUAAUCCUUGUAGGUAAUACAGAUGUUUAAAUUGAUGUGCCUUUGCAGGCUUACAGCCAGUUGUAUGCUAUUAAAAACAUACACAAAUGUACUGAGAUUUUUAGUUUGUUUUCACAGUGUAAAUAUUAGCUUAGCAAAGUAUAAAGCCUUGAACUUCAGAUAUCUCCUUGAAGGCAUUCAAGGCCAGGUUGGAUGGAAACCUGGUCAGCCUGUUCUAUUGGGUAACAACUCUGCCCAUGGCAGGAAGGUAGAAACUUGAUGGCCUUUAAGGUCUUUUCCAACCCUAGCAAUUCUAUGAUUCGGAUAUUUCCAUGGAAAAUUGAUUACACAUUACAUGUUAGUCAUGUAAUGUCUCAUAUUUUAUUAUGUUGGUACCUGCUGUCAGAGGUGAAUGUUGGUGGUAUGGCAGUAGAGCCUCCCUACAGUAUUCCUUUUCUUUUUACUGCCAUGUGACAGAUGGCAGCAGAGGGGCAGUCUGACAACAUGGCAUCUGACAUGGAAGUGCAGAAGAAGAAAAGGUGUGAAAUUGAAUUGCUCCAUGUGGAAUAAAUGGCACCCACUGACAUUCAUUGAUGCUUUCUGAAUGUUUAUGGAGACCAGCCAGUGGAUGUCAAAACAGUAAAUCAGUGGGUGGUGCGUUUUAGCAGUGGCGACAGCAACAGUGGAUCACCUUUGCUGGUGCAGAUCUGUAGAAGUGCAGCAGGCAGGCUUUUGUUCAUGCAUGGUGAAAAUGCAUAGCUCAUGAUGGUGACAGCGGGAAAACUGUUUUGUAGCUAAGAAUUGGCUCUAUCAAAUAGUCUUAUUGUGCUCUUUGUACCUGUAGUUUUCAUGGAAAUAAAUAGGAGACAAUACUUUUAGAGCUACAUACAUAUAUGCUAAUUUUGGUAUAAGUGUUUACAUAAAGUAAGAAUUAUUCUGUAGUCUUUUGAAAUGUGAAGAUAUCUCUGAAAUGCCAUUCUACUUAAGUGACACUUUAGUAAAUAGUUCUUUUGAAAGGGUAGUUAAAUGAUGUGUCACAGUCUGUAUUGAUGAAUGUAGGAGCAUUAAGCUACCUAUUCCUUAUGUAUAUAAUAAUGUUUUUUUUAUGUAUUUGCUGUGUUUCACCUUUGUUUUUAUUUACUUAUAGCUUCCUUCUGGAAAAAUAUCCUAACAAUUUUAACAGUAAGCUUUACAGAAUAACUCUGGAAAAUAUUUCUAGACUGUUAAUUCUAUUUAGACUUCCCCAGUGCACCUGAGUUAUCCCUCAGAGCUACUUAGAAUACCCCAGCUUUAUCUGAGCUUACAUUGUUUCAACUGAGAGCUCUACUGAAAUCAGCAGAAGUCACACAGAUAUAGUUAUGUAUUUCUGAGCAAGAUCUCUGAUACUGUGAGUUUGUGCCUGUAUUUCGUAUCAGUGGAAGAGCUUGAUCUCAGACGGACACUCAGAGGUUCUAAGGAUGCCCCAUCUGUCUAGAAAGACUAUAACUCCAAAAGGAAUAUUUAUCUCCUGGAGAGUUUCAGAUUCCUUUUGUCAUUGAGAAGAGCAGUAGAUACCUACAUGUAAGCAAAUGAACCUUGAGUGGUUUUCUGUAAAUGAACACAUCUGCCAGCUUUGUUCAAAAAUUCAGGUGGCACUGUGCCUCAAACUCAGUUUCCUAUGUUGGAUUUUUAAAAGAAAGGCCUCCAAAAGUAUUAAUGUAAACAUAACUUACAAUUUCCACUCUGUAAUAGUUGUUGACUACAGAACAACAAUCUUGACUUCUACAGCUAUGUAUAAGAUUAGGAGAUUGCGGUUUGAAAAUUUUGUGUUAUAAUUUACAUAUAAUUUACAUAUCUUGCAUUUGCCAGUCGUGUUAUUUAUGAGAUUUAUCCAACACAGUUACUGGAUUUUACUUGAGAGAUCUGUAGCACAGUAUAGGAUUACUGCUGGCACUUUCUUACAUUGAGAUUUUAGUACUCAGAUCUUCCUUCAAAGUUUUUCUGCUGGCUCAGUUUGGUUCUGGACUUUGAUCAGGCUGAGUGGUUGAUGGUUUGGGCAGGCAGCUAAAUUUCCAAUGUUACAUAGGCAUUUCUGACCAUUACUGAAGAAAUAUUUUUGGUCAGCUGUCUGCUCUUGCUACUUCCAUUUUCACCUAAGCUUGAGCUUCAAGUACUCUGUCCCUUUGAGUGCCUGUCUCACCUCUGAAUCCUAAGACUGUGAUCUGUGGAGUUGGCUAGUAACUAGUACUGAUCUCUACUUCUAUAGUACCUCUGGCUGAAAAAUAUGACUAUCAAUUUCAUUAAGAAAUAUUUAUAUAUUAAUAAUUCCUCAAGUCAAAAGCAGAUUCCAGCCUUUGAGUUUGGAAUUCUUGAUAUCUAAAUUGUUCUAAGACUCUAGAGCACCUAGCAUUUGCAGCCACUGAGAAACAGCUGGGAGGGACUUCUGUAGUUAUUCUCUUGUAUGAUGGAAUAAGAAGAUAACAUUUAGCUGAGUUGAGUAUUUCAAGUGUAGGAAAAGGAUUUUGACAUGAGUAAAACAGUAGUAAGAUUGAUUUGAUUACUGAAAUAAAUAAAGAAGGAAAAUAAUAUGCCAUUAAGAUACUGCAUAGAUUUUUGUCUAUUCCCCUUGAUGUCAAGACACAGAUCUGACAAAAAAGAGGAUUUUGUUUUUCUUUCUCAUGCCAAGAGUCAUCAAGUAAAUCUUUGUCAGGUAAAUCUCAAGUUUGCAGUAAAGCACUUCCUGUAAAAAGCAUCCAAUUAGCCUACUUAUGUCACUUAGUACUCUGUGCUUUAGCAUUCUUUGACUGUAGAUUAGUUUCUGUGCUCUAAUCCCUGCCAUUAAUAUUCACUCACCAUAAGCUUGCUUUGCUAUGCAUUAUUUAUCAAGUUUAGAAAGUGAUAUAACAAGUUCUAACUGGGAAACAGAAAAAAAUAUUGUCCAAAAGUGCUUUUAACCUAAACAACCCACACACUGAAGAAGAAACAUGAAAAAAUACUAUUAAAAAUAAGGCAACUGAGUAUAUACAUACUAACGUCAUGCUGCUUGCAUACUUUUUAUGUUUCCUUAAAUUUUAACAGGAGUUGUAGAAAUAAACUUUCAAACAUACCGAAGAGAGUCUUCCCUAUGCAAAGGGGAAUCAAACAACUAGCAGUUAAAGAGGUCCUUAUAGAUACUUCUAUAGGUUGCUGGCUAGAAUGCAAUUGGAUCCUAUAACUAAUGAACGUAAAUCACUAAUGUAAAUCAAUUAGUUGGUCAUUGCUUUUAGUCACAAAAUUGUAUUCUUUGUUUUGACGAUAUAUCAUUGACAAAUUGUAUUUGUUUUGACAAUAUAUCUGAAAUUUGUAAUAUAUAAAAAGAUAAUAAAAUCUUAUAUUUUAAUGAAGAGUAUUUUGACUUGGUAAAGGAACAGAAGCAUGCAAAGUUCUCUUGGGAAACAGAAGCUUUUGCAAGCAUACUGUCCAAGAAUAGUUACUAGUUGGAGAGAACAUGUCAAAGCUGUUCAAGUUAACAUGUUUUGGAGGUUAAAAUUCAGAACUUAGCAGUUAUGAAAACACAAGGAAACAAAUGUAGGACUACACCCCUAUGUACUUCAUUUAAAUUAUGUGUUAGCCUCCCUCCAGAAGACCAGACACAAAGUGAAAAAAAAUUGCUUCCUUUGUGAGUGUGAUUUAAAGGUGAAAUAUUUGAUUAUUCAGCCAGAUGUGUCUAAUCCAACUAAAUGGAUUACCAGUGGGUUUGUUGUAUCAAGUAUCUAUUUUAUGCUAACAGCAAGCUGGAUGCAUGAAUUUCGAAAGGCACUUUAGAAUAAUUAUUUGAUUAAUUUUUGUUCAUAUCACAAGGAGUCUUGUGGCUAUAAUGAAUAUCUAUGUAUUCAUAUGUACAUUUUGGCAUCGGCACAUAAAAAAUAAAGACAAGGUGAUUUGUAGUAAUCAGUCUGGGUUCAUCAAGGGCAAGUUAUACCUGACAAACUUGGUGGCCUUUUAUGAUGGAGUUACAGCAUCAGUGGAUAAAGAAAGAGCAACUGAUAUCAUCUACCUGGAAUUGUGCAAAGCAUUUGAUACUGUUAUGCAUGACAUCCUGGUCACCAAAUUGGAGAAAAAUGGAUUUGAUGGAUAAAGCACACUCUGGAUAAGGAAUUGUCUGAAUGCUUGCACUUGGAGAGUUGCUGUCAACAGCUCAGUGUCCGAGUGGAGGCUGGUGAUGUGUGGCAUUCCUCAGGGAUUAAUAUUUGUACUGAUGUUAUUUAACAUCUUUGUAGGUAAUGUGGACAGUGGGAUUGAGUGCACCCUCAGCAAGUUUGCAGAUUACAUGCUAGAGUUAAGGGAUGCUAUCCAGAGCGACUUGGUCAGUCUUGAGAGGUGGACCCAUGCCAACCUCAUUCAGUUCAACAAGACCAAGUGCAAGGUCCUGCACCUGGGUCAGAGCAAUCCCAAGCACAGAUAGGGGUUGGAUGGAGAAUGGCUUGAAAGCAGCCCUGAGGAGAAGGAUUUGGGAGUGUCAGUUGAUGAAAGAUUCAACAUGAGCCAGCAACGUGUGCUUGCAACCCAGAAGGCCAGGCCUAUCCUGGGUUGCAUCAAGACAAGUGUGACCAGCAUGUCGAGGGAGGUGAUUCUGCCCCUCUAUCUGCUCUCAUGAGAACCCACCUGAAGUGUUGCGUCCAGUUCUGGAGCCCCUGCAGAAGAAAGAUGUGAAGUUAUGAGAGAAAUUCCAGAAGAGGUUCACAGAGAUGAUCAGAGAGCUAGACCACCUCCCCUAUGAAGACAGGCUGAAGGAACUGGGGCUCUUCAGCCUCGAGAAGAGAAGGCUCUGAGGAGAUGUUAUAGCAGCCUUCCAGUGCCUGAAGGGGGCCUACAGGAAAGCUGGGGAGGGACUUUUUAGAAGGGCAUGUAGCAACAGGACAAGAGGAAAUGGUUUUCAACUGGGAGAGGAUAGAUUUAGACUGGAUAUUAGGAAGAAAUUCUUUAUUGUGAGGGUGGUGAAAUACUGGCAUGUGUUUCCCAGUGACGUUGUGAAUGCCCCCUCCCUGGAAGCAUUCAAGGCCAGGCUGGAUGGGACUUUGAGCAACCUGGUGUAGAGGGAGGUGUCCCUGCCUAUAGCAGGUGGAUUGGAACUAGAUGAUCUUAAGAGUCCCUUCCAACCCAAACCAUUCCAUUCUAUGAUAUAAGCAGAGACCAAAAGAUGUGACCUUGCAGGUAUGUGGGUAGAACUCAGGAUCUGGCGUUAAACACCUUGAAAAACAGAUAUUUAAAUAUUUGAGAAAUUUGUUCAGGAGGAGCUAUCGCAGUUGGGUUUAAGGUAUAACUGGUGAAGGCAUAAUCUUACCAUUCCUAGGAACAGCCUAACAAUUAGAACAGUAAACUAAGAAGUUGCAUAUUUGUGUUCUGUUCUGUCUCAUAUAUUUGCUUUGAGUUAAAAAUAUUUUUGCCAUUCAGAAUAUCUGGCACUUGGGAUUUAAGCAGAAAUACAUGAUUUGGAGAAAGUGAAUAACUUUUUCUGGUCAUUAGUUAAGCUUUAACCUCCUAUAGGAAUAUCUUAAAGCUGAUGUAAUGCAUGAGUUGAGGG